GGCGGACGGGUGAGUAACGCGUAGGAACCUACCUGGUAGCGGGGGACAACCUGGUGAAAACCAGGCUAAUACCGCAUACGCCCUACGGGGGAAAGCAGGGGAUCUUCGGACCCUGCACUAUCAGAUGGGCCUGCGUCGGAUUAGCUAGUUGGUGAGGUAAUGGCUCACCAAGGCGACGAUCCGUAGCUGGUUUGAGAGAAUGAUCAGCCACACUGGGACUGAGACACGGCCCAG
rnacentral:rRNA from 1 species